UCACCCGGCACGUGCGCCGGGGGCCGGCUGGGCGCGAGGGGAGGGAGGCCGGCGGGCCGGCGAGGGGCCGACCCCGACCCCGACCCGACCCGACCCGAUCCACCCCGGCGCUCGGGCCUGGCCGGCUAGGUCUCGCCCCCAGCGCCCUGGCUGGGCUGCGUCGGCGAGAAGUCAAAAGAAUACAGCUCAAGGUGAUAUAAUGAAGCAGAUCUAUUUGGCAUCUGUAAGGCAUUGGAAGUUGCAUCUCUUGUGGAAGGAUCUAAUACCAUGAUCAGAAGCACUUUGGAUGUGUCUUUUCACUGUGACGUUGCGGUAUACGCUUGACAAGUUUUGAAAAGAGAUUUUUCUACCGACUCUACCGACUAAUAUUUCGUCUGUGAAGCCAGGAGCCUCCGUAAAGGUUAAAAAUAAUUCAGCUAUAUUGUGCUGAACUUGAUUGAAGUGUCGUGAACAGUGUCUGGAGGGCAGAAGAACCAGUUCUGUCUUGUUUCGACGGGUUUAGUCUGUUUACUUUCCUGGUGCCCUGUCGCUGAAGCUGGGGCUGGGAGGCCUGCUGAGGAAUGUUUCUUCCGGAGUUCCGACAGGCUCAGCUCUCUGUCCCAGCCUCCCAAGCUGCUCGGCUACAGGACCACACAAAGUGCUCUAAGAAUUCAGAGGACAGAGAGAACAUUUCUGGCAGUGGACAGAGUCCUGAGUGAGCACAGAAAGCAUUAUGGAAUCUGGACAUGAGUGUUUGUUUCCUCCACUGAACUGUGAACUCCUCCUAGGUAGAGAUGAUGUGAUACACCUUUGGAUAUCUGUGUCUCCAAGGCCUAAUGGUACAAUUUUGACACAAAGUUUUAAUGAGUGUCCAGAUUUUCUUAGAGCCCUUGCCUUGGAACUGCCCACUGCAAGAGUCUGAAGUCUGGGGAACAGGCUCAGGAGGAUUCAGGCGGAGUCAGGAGGAUGGCAGUGGCUCUAGGGGUGGGACCAAGAUGGCAGAGCAGGAAGAUCCUGAGCACACCUCCUCUCAUGGACACAGCAAAACUACAACUACAUAUAGAACAAUUAUCUUUGAGAAUGACCUGAAGACUAACAGAACAGAUUUUCUACAACUAAGGAUAUAAAGAAAAGGCCAAAUCAAGACAGGCAGGAGGGGUAGAGUUGCAGUCUAGUCCAAACCUGUACCCCUGCUGUGGUGACCCACAGGUGGUAAGGAUGAUCACAACCACAGAGGCCUUGAGGAGGAGGGCUCUGAGCCCCACGUUGGGCUCCCUAGCCCAGGUGUCCUGCACUGGGAAGAUGAGCUUCAUAACGUUCUUUAUAUUAGAUAUAAUAAAACACAGACUGAAAGUGAAGGGAUGGAAAAAGAUAUUCCAUGCAAAUGGUUGAAAAGAAAGUUGGGGUAGCUAUACUUAUGUCCGACAAAAUAGUCUUUAAAACAAAUACUGUAACAAGAGAAAAAAAGGCACUUAACAUAAUGAUAAAGGGAUCAAUCCAACAAGAACAUACACAAGAAGAUAUAACACUUGUGAAAUAUAUGCGCCCAACAUAGCAGCAUAUAAAUACAUAAAGCAAAUAUUAACAGACAUAAAGGGAGAUGUUGAGAGUAAUGCAAUAGUAGUAGGGGAUUUUAACAUCCCACUUACAUCAAUGGAUAGAUCAUCCAGACAGAAAAUCAAUAAGGAAACACUGGCCUUAAACAACACAUUAGAGUAUAUGGGCUUAAUAGAUACAUAUAGAACAUUCCACCUCAAAAGAGAAUACACAUUCUUUUCAAUUUUACAUGCAGCAUUCUCUAGGAUAGAUCACAUAUUAGAUCACAAAGAAAGUCUCAGUACAUUUAAGAUUGAAAUCAUAUCAAGCUUGGGAGAUUGGGAUUGACAUAUAUACACUAAUAUGUAUAAAAUGGAUAACUAAUAAGGACCUUCUGUAUA